AGGACGAACGCUGGCGGUGUGCUUCACACAUGCAAGUCGAACGAGGUAGCAAUACCUAGUGGCGGACGGGUGAGUAACGCGUGGGAAUCUGCCUUUAGAUGGGGGAUAACGAGCCGAAAGGUCCGCUAAUACCGCAUAGGCCGCAAGGUUAAAGGAGUAAUCCGUCUAAAGAUGAGCCCGCGUCCGAUUAGCUAGUUGGUAGGGUAAAAGCCUACCAAGGCGACGAUCGGUAGCUGGUCUGAGAGGAUGAUCAGCCACAAUGGGACUGAGACACGGCCCAUACUCCUACGGGAGGCAGCAGUGGGGAAUUUUGUGCAAUGGGCGAAAGCCUGACACAGCGACACCGCGUGAGCGAAGAAGCCCUUUGGGUGUAAAGCUCUGUCAGCUGGAACGAAAAAUGACGGUACCAGCAGAGGAAGCAUCGGCUAACUACGUGCCAGCAGCCGC
rnacentral:rRNA from 1 species